rnacentral:rRNA from 1 species
AUGACGGCUCCCCAAGGACACAAGCCAUGCAUGCCCGCACACCCGGGAGGCGGCGGACGGCUCAGGAAAAACGGUUGCACCCCCCGCGGCGGUCCCUGCUAGCCGGACACCGCUGGCAACCCGGCGCCAAGACGUGCGCGCAAGUGCGGGCGCCCGCGGGCGAGCAGCGUGACGCAGA